rnacentral:snoRNA from 1 species
CCGCACUGUUCGUAACCUGGUUCAGUUCCCAGUAUGAACUCUGGUUCCAUUCCAGUGCCACAGUGAACUCCAGUGAGGCAGGGGAGUGGUGCCUGUUUUGUGCCAACUCCCUGUUCACUCUCUGGGAACACGU